UUCCAGACUCCUACGGGAGGCAGCAGUGAGGAAUAUUGGUCAAUGGGCGAGAGCCUGAACCAGCCAAGUCGCGUGAGGGAGUACUGCCCUAUGGGUUGUAAACCUCUUUUGUCGGGGAGCAAAAGCCGGACGUGUCCGGCUGUGAGAGUACCCGAAGAAAAAGCAUCGGCUAACUCCGUGCCAGCAGCCGCGGUAAUACGGAGGAUGCGAGCGUUAUCCGGAUUUAUUGGGUUUAAAGGGUGCGCAGGCGGAUUUUUAAGUCAGCGGUCAAAUCGUGGGGCUAAACCCCGUCCAGCCGUUGAAACUGGCGUUCUUGAGUGGAAGAGAAGUAUGCGGAAUGCGUGGUGUAGCGGUGAAAUGCAUAGAUAUCACGCAGAACCCCGAUUGCGAAGGCAGCAUGCCGGCUUCCGACUGACGCUGAAGCACGAAAGCGUGGGGAUCGAACAGGAUUAGAUACCCGAGUAC
rnacentral:rRNA from 1 species